CAAUUGAAACCCUUACUCAUUACCCUAACUACGCCGUGACGCUGUUGUCCUGGUUGGCCUCUGCGACGAUCUCCGAUCCUCUGGCGUUUACUGACGACCUUCUCUGUGACAUCUCCCCCGGCAUCGAUCUCCAUCGACGACAUCUCCUACAGCGGCGAUUUCAUCCGGUGUCGUCUCCUGCAACUUCCUCUCCUUGUCGUCCUCUGUGUCUUCUCCGCCAAAAUCGUCAACGCCUUCCUCUUCGACGAUCCAGAUCCGCCGCUAGGGAUUGCAUUCCGCAGGAGAGGAAUUCCUUUGUCAACUUCCAAGCCAAAGCCGGUGUAGAGAAUGCAGAAUUGUGUCUGGUGUUGCUGGACCGUUGGAUACUCUUGAUAAAGUUAAGGUAAUGACUAGUUUUGAUGCUAUGCUUAUUGGAUAUUCUAGAAUUUUGAACUUUUCUCAAUGAAAUGUAUCACUUUCUGUGCGGUGUGACUGAAUUUUAUACUGAUCAACUGCAAUAGGGACCAAAAUUUCAAGAGAUUGUUAAACUAGAAAUUAAACUUUCUGUUUCUUGUGUAAUUAUUUGAACUAGAAAUUAAACUUUCUGUUUCUUGUGCAGUGAUCUUAGCAACAACCACAUUGGAGGGCCAUUCCAUUCACUGUGUAAUAAACAUUGUGAAUAUAAUGCUUAAAAAAUAAAUUAUAAACAUUGUGAAUAUACUGCUUUUGUGCUGUGUGCAGGCUGCCAUUGUGAAUUCACAGACCCUUGAACAAGUUGCAAGACUUAA